rnacentral:rRNA from 1 species
GACGAACGCUGGCGGCGUGCUUAACACAUGCAAGUCGAACGGUGAAAGAGAGCUUGCUCUCUGGAUCAGUGGCGAACGGGUGAGUAACACGUGAGCAAUCUGCCCCUGACUCUGGGAUAAGCGCUGGAAACGGCGUCUAAUACCGGAUACGAGCUGCGAAGGCAUCUUCAGCAGCUGGAAAGAACUUCGGUCAGGGAUGAGCUCGCGGCCUAUCAGCUAGUUGGUGAGGUAAUGGCUCACCAAGGCGUCGACGGGUAGCCGGCCUGAGAGGGUGACCGGCGACACUGGGACUGAGACACGGCCCGGACUCCUACGGGAGGCAGCAGUGGGGAAUAUUGCACAAUGGGCGCAAGCCUGAUGCAGCAACGCCGCGUGAGGGACGACGGCCUUCGGGUUGUAAACCUCUUUUAGCAGGGAAGAAGCGAAAGUGACGGUACCUGCAGAAAAAGCACCGGCUAACUACGUGCCAGCCGCCGCGGUAAAAC